rnacentral:rRNA from 1 species
GAUGAACGCUGGCGGCGUGCCUAACACAUGCAAGUCGAGCGAACAGACGCGGAGUUUGCUCCUUUCACGUUAGCGGCGCACGUGUGUGUCACACGUGUAUCCCCUCCCUAUCAGACUGGGAUAACUUCGGGACACCGGAGCUAACACCGGAUAAUAUACUGAACCGCAUGGUUCAAUAGUGAAAUUCGGUUUUUCUUUCUCUUAUAGAUGCAUCUCCGCCGCAUUAGCUAGUUGGUAAGUUAACGGCUUAUCAAGGCAACGAUGCGUAGCCGACUUCCUGGGGUGGUCGGCCACACUGGAACGGAGACACGGUCCAGACUCCUACGGUAGGGAGCAGUAGGGAACGUUCCGCAGUAGGCGAAAGCCUGGCAGAGCAACGCCGCGUGAGUGAUGAAAGUGUUCGGAUCGUAAAGCUCUGUUAUUAGGGAAGAACAGAUGUGGAAGUAACUAUGGACGUCGUGACGGUACCUAGUAAGAAAGCCACGGCUAACUACGUG